GUUUUUUUCAUUUUAAUCCUCUUUUUCACGAGGCAAACACAGAUUUGCAAAGCUUAAAUACGAUUUCGGAUACGUCACAGAUUUUACAUCAUGGAAUUUUUUCCACAGUAGUUCCCCAACUUUUAGAAUGUCGUGAAGUCACACUCGGUGAAGAAAUACAUAAAAAGGUAGUGAAUGAGUGCUCCAUGUAGAGCUGCUUCUCUGAAUUGAGAGAUCACACACUUGAUACUACAAACAUGUGGUAAGAAUGUUGCAGGGAAGAGUCACUGGACAGGCUUUACAGGCAAAUCAACCAGCAAGAGACUCAAGCAUAGACCAUGAGCAAGAUGGUUGGAUAACAUCUAUGAGUUUGGUUUGUCUCACAUUAGUGAUUGCUGCUUCAGACAGUAUCUGGUGGAAGGCAUGCUUGAUUACAUUGCCCCACAGCCUUUCCAAAGAUGAGUGGGGGAAGAAGAUGAGAUGAGUUUUCAAAAAUAACACGAUGUUCUUCCCAACCAACAACAAUUAGUUCCGAUAAGAACUAUAUAUUGAAUAUACUGAAUCAGAAUGUUUCAAUUUUACUGUAGAUGACAAAAACAAUGAUACCACAGAUGCCUGUAGUUGUGGAAAGGAAAUUGAAACUAAAGAAAUCUUUAUAAACAAAUAGACUUGUGAUUGCCAUGCUAUAAAUAUCACCAGAAUUUUCCAGACCCGCUCAAAUAUCAGAUAGAAAAUGAAACACUGACUUUUCUUGUAAUAUACAUUUUUCUGCUGCAUUCCCUAUAGCAAAAAUACACCAUUGGCAAGGCAAUGGCAUCAGCAAAAAGUUGCUUGUUCAUCAGCAUAAGUGAUGUGAACCACAGUUUGUAGAAUGUCUCAGAUAAACAUAUUCUUAGAUUCAUUUUUAUUUGUUUUAGUCUUUAGACUGCAACCAAGUUGAAACACCAACUUGAAUGAUUCAGUUGAACCAAUUAGCCUCAGUAUAUAUAUAUAUUUUGUAUAUAUGAAGUACCCUUCAAACUUUGGACCUCAUGGAGGCAAUGACA